UUGCGGCGUGCUUAUAAUUGCAAGUCGAGCGAACAGAUAAGGAGCUUGCUCCUUUGACGUUAGCGGCGGACGGGUGAGUAACACGUGGGUAACCUACCUAUAAGACUGGGAUAACUUCGGGAAACCGGAGCUAAUACCGGAUAACAUUUGGAACCGCAUGGUUCUAAAGUGAAAGAUGGUUUUGCUAUCACUUAUAGAUGGACCCGCGCCGUAUUAGCUAGUUGGUAAGGUAACGGCUUACCAAGGCGACGAUACGUAGCCGACCUGAGAGGGUGAUCGGCCACACUGGAACUGAGACACGGUCCAGACUCCUACGGGAGGCAGCAGUAGGGAAUCUUCCGCAAUGGGCGAAAGCCUGACGGAGCAACGCCGCGUGAGUGAUGAAGGGUUUCGGCUCGUAAAACUCUGUUAUUAGGGAAGAACAAAUGUGUAAGUAACUGUGCACGUCUUGACGGUACCUAAUCAGAAAGCCACGGCUAACUACGUGCCAGCAGCCGCGGUAAUACGUAGGUGGCAAGCGUUAUCCGGAAUUAUUGGGCGUAAAGCGCGCGUAGGCGGUUUCUUAAGUCUGAUGUGAAAGCCCACGGCUCAACCGUGGAGGGUCAUUGGAAACUGGGAAACUUGAGUGCAGAAGAGGAAAGUGGAAUUCCAUGUGUAGCGGUGAAAUGCGCAGAGAUAUGGAGGAACACCAGUGGCGAAGGCGACUUUCUGGUCUGUAACUGACGCUGAUGUGCGAAAGCGUGGGGAUCAAACAGGAUUAGAUACCCUGGUAGUCCACGCCGUAAACGAUGAGUGCUAAGUGUUAGGGGGUUUCCGCCCCUUAGUGCUGCAGCUAACGCAUUAAGCACUCCGCCUGGGGAGUACGACCGCAAGGUUGAAACUCAAAGGAAUUGACGGGGACCCGCACAAGCGGUGGAGCAUGUGGUUUAAUUCGAAGCAACGCGAAGAACCUUACCAAAUCUUGACAUCCUUUGAAAACUCUAGAGAUAGAGCCUUCCCCUUCGGGGGACAAAGUGACAGGUGGUGCAUGGUUGUCGUCAGCUCGUGUCGUGAGAUGUUGGGUUAAGUCCCGCAACGAGCGCAACYCUUAAGCUUAGUUGCCAUCAUUAAGUUGGGCACUCUAGGUUGACUGCCGGUGACAAACCGGAGGAAGGUGGGGAUGACGUCAAAUCAUCAUGCCCCUUAUGAUUUGGGCUACACACGUGCUACAAUGGACAAUACAAAGGGCAGCUAAACCGCGAGGUCAUGCAAAUCCCAUAAAGUUGUUCUCAGUUCGGAUUGUAGUCUGCAACUCGACUACAUGAAGCUGGAAUCGCUAGUAAUCGUAGAUCAGCAUGCUACGGUGAAUACGUUCCCGGGUCUUGUACACACCGCCCGUCACACCACGAGAGUUUGUAACACCCGAAGCCGGUGGAGUAACCAUUUAUGGAGCUAGCCGUCGAAGGUGAACA
rnacentral:rRNA from 1 species